rnacentral:sRNA from 12 species
UAUGAAAAUAGGUAGAAAUAUGCUGUAUACGCGUGAUAUCAAAUUAACGUUUAAGCGACCUGUAAGAUCGUUGAUUACGAG